GUGGAUAUGGUGGAAUUGGCAGACACGCAAGAUUCAGAUUCUUGUCACCUUUCGGUGGUGCAGGUUCAAGUCCUGUUAUCCACA
rnacentral:tRNA from 1 species